rnacentral:ncRNA from 1 species
UUAGUCGGGGUGCCUAUAUUAAUGGCUGAGAAAUACCCGUGAACCUGAAACAGAUAAUGCUGGCGUAGGAAACUAAUUAUCUCA